AAAUGCUUACAGCUCUUUUUGAAUUUGUCCAGCAGAUAGGUCUUCUGGCUUUUACAGGAAGGCCCUA
rfam:Myotis lucifugus cont2.17762, whole genome shotgun sequence.